UUAGAUUCAAUUUGAUUAUCAAAACUCAUAACUUAAAGAAGUUCGAAUUCAAAUCAUCUCAUCUGAAGAUUUGUACUGCGUAAUUUGAGGUAAAUAUCAAUUAUUUGUCGUGAAAUCACUGAUUUUUGGGUUAGUUUGUCAGGGAAUUGAUGAUUUUAUGGUUAAUUUGUCGUGAAAUCAAGUUAACUUUCAAUUGAUCGUAGGGUAAUGUUUGAUGUUUGUUAGUGAACAGGAAUUUACCAGGUGUAUGUAUUCCCGUGGGGAGUUUUCAGUCGCUUCUUGUCGGGAUUUUCUUGGGAAACAUGUGAUUUCAUUCUACCCAUACGAGUGGGUUAAACGGGUUCCAAAAAUAUUAAUUUCUUUGCGUGGAGAGCCGAACAAGACCGUCUUUCUACACUCAACGGGCUGUGCAGAAAAGGAAUAUGCUUAGAGGUCCGAUUUCAUAUCGACUAUGCGGGGAGGUGGAUGAAGAUGAUGACCAUCGAAUUUAUGGAGACAUACAGGCAAGUGUUAGUGAAAUCUAAGUCCGAUCUGGCAAGGCCUUUUGAUGAAGCUACUGUUUUUUCUCAAGAAUAUUGAAACAUAGCUUAGUUUUAUAAGUAAAGUUCUUCAGAUUCAAAUAAAUUAAAGCUCGAGAAUUUUGCUUUCUUGCCAAAGAUUAUUUUUGAAAAAUAUGAAGAGUUCAUGUAUCCUCACCAAAGAGAUUGAAGUGACAAAUAGCUUGUAGAACAAACCACUUAUGUAAGGUAAUUUGAAACAUGAAAGGAGUUUCUACAGCAGUGACUGAAGAACCCAAGUUUGUUGGUUUAUUGACUUGUAGUGAAAAAUGAAG